UUUAUCUAUGCUUGAUAUUUGGAAAAACUGCAAUAACUGUUGAAUAUUGAACCCUAGGCUAGAAAACAUGUUAUAUCUGCCUGGGAAAGUUUUCUGGUUGUUUUGCAGGUGAGGGUUUGGGUGCAUUGCAUUCUCCCUUCACACACACACAUAUUAUGCAUCUAUUGAGUGAGGCCCUAUACCCGGGUUUGAGCGCAACUUAGAAUUAGAGGAGUUGUGUAGCGGUGUCACUCUGGGAUGUACUUCCUGUUUGGCUAUCGUGAGAACUCCAGCUAGAGUCUGUUCUCUUCAUUUGUGUCUCCUCAUCUAGUUGAUUACUCGACUGUUGUGAAAAUGCUAUGAAGGGGGCCAUAGCUCUAGUGACCUUUGAUCCUUAGGCUCAGGGAACUAUCCUGGUGAGAUUGCAUAUACUUGACCUUAAAUCUAAAAUGUUGAAUCUUCACUAGGGCAUAAAGGGAGAUGUGUGUAUCCUUGUAACCCUCACUUUUGUUUAAUAAAAUCAAGCACCUUGUACAUAUCACUACAUUAUUUUUCCUUCUUUCUUUGUUGCUCAU
rnacentral:lncRNA from 1 species